UCUGCCAAGUAACGUCUCUCAUCAAGACAGCAGGAUUACAGCCAAGGAGUUUAGCUCAUAGUAAAUGAUGCACAGAGUGAAAUUUUAAGUACAGGUAGUUACAGAAUGUGGCUAUCUGUGGUUGUUAACAAUUGUUACCUGCCUAAAUUCAGGUUUACUUGAGGCAAAUGAAAGGGAAUAUUGUAAUGAGCUAUGUUAACACUUAGCUAGCUAGCUAGCUAUUUUGUUAGAAAAUGUCUCCAGUGAGCAAGAGUGUGAACGAGCAAAUUUGAAAUAGGAGUGAGUGAGAGACACCUAUCUGAUGAAGACAGACAGAUGGAGUCCAGCUGUCCUGAAGUUCACUGACUCUCGACGUAGAACAAGACACCUCAUUAAAGUUCUUAAAGGUCAGAGGUCAAACAUGAACUCAAAUAAAAAGGACUGAC